rnacentral:rRNA from 1 species
UACGAAGGGGGCUAGCGUUGCUCGGAAUUACUGGGCGUAAAGCGCACGUAGGCGGCUUCUUAAGUCGGUGGUGAAAUCCUGGAGCUCAACUCCAGAACUGCCUUCGAUACUGGGAAGCUCGAGUCCGGGAGAGGUGAGUGGAACUGCGAGUGUAGAGGUGAAAUUCGUAGAUAUUCGCAAGAAUACCAGUGGCGAAGGCGGCUCACUGGCCCGGUACUGACGCUGAGGUGCGAAAGCGUGGGGAGCAAACAGG